AACGAACGCUGGCGGCAUGCCUAACACAUGCAAGUCGAACGAGACCUUCGGGUCUAGUGGCGCACGGGUGCGUAACGCGUGGGAAUCUGCCCUUGGGUUCGGAAUAACACAGAGAAAUUUGUGCUAAUACCGGAUGAUGACGUAAGUCCAAAAGAUUUAUCGCCCAGGGAUGAGCCCGCGUAGGAUUAGCUAGUUGGUGGGGUAAAGGCUCACCAAGGCUACGAUCCUUAGCUGGUCUGAGAGGAUGAUCAGCCACACUGGGACUGAGACACGGCCCAGACUCCUACGGGAGGCAGCAGUGGGGAUAUUGGACAAUGGGCGAAAGGCCUGAUCCAGCAAUGCCGCGUGAGUGAAGAAGGCCUUAGGGUUGUAAACUGCUUUAGUCUAGGAAAAGGGGUGCGAGGUUAAUACCCUCGUGCUUUGAUGGUACUGAAGAUAAGCACCGGCUAACUACGUGCCAGCAGCCGCGGUAAGGAGUAGUACA
rnacentral:rRNA from 1 species